rnacentral:rRNA from 1 species
UACAGAGGUCCCGAGCGUUGUUCGGAUUCAUUGGGCGUAAAGGGGUGCGUAGGCGGCGGGGGAAAGUCUGAUGUGAAAUCCUGGGGCUCAACCCUGGAACUGCAUUGGAUACUUCCUUGCUAGAGUACUGGAGAGGAAACUGGAAUUUACGGUGUAGCAGUGAAAUGCGUAGAGAUCGUAAGGAAGACCAGUGGCGAAGGCGAGUUUCUGGACAGUUACUGACGCUGAGGCACGAAGGCCAGGGGAGCAAACGGG